GGCCGGGCAAGACCGGUGCCAGCCGCCGCGGUAACACCGGCGGCCCGAGUGGUGAUCGUGAUUAUGGGUCUAAAGGGUCCGUAGCCGGUUUGGUCAGUCCUCCGGGAAAUCUGACGGCUCAACCGUUAGGCUUUCGGUGGAUACUGCCAGACUUGGAACCGGGAGAGGUAAGAGGUACUACAGGGGUAGGAGUGAAAUCUUGUAAUCCCUGUGAGACCACCUGUGGCGAAGGCGUCUUACCAGAACGGGUUCGACGGUGAGGGACGAAAGCUGGGGGCACGAACCGGAUUAGAUACCCGGGUAGUCCCAGCCGUAAACGAUGCUCGCUAGGUGUCAGGCAUGGCGCGACCGUGUCUGGUGCCGCAGGGAAGCCGUGAAGCGAGCCACCUGGGAAGUACGGCCGCAAGGCUGAAACUUAAAGGAAUUGGCGGGGGAGCACAACAACGGGUGGAGCCUGCGGUUUAAUUGGACUCAACGCCGGACAACUCACCGGGGACGACAGCAAUAUGUAGGCCAGGCUAAAGACCUUGCCUGAAUCGCUGAGAGGAGGUGCAUGGCCGUCGCCAGUUCGUACUGUGAAGCAUCCUGUUAAGUCAGGCAACGAGCGAGACCCGUGCCCACUGUUACCAGCAUGUCCUCCGGGACGAUGGGUACUCUGUGGGGACCGCCGAUGUUAAAUCGGAGGAAGGUGCGGGCUACGGUAGGUCAGUAUGCCCCGAAUUUCCCGGACUACACGCGGGCUACAAUGAAUGGGACAAUGGGUCCCUACCCCGAGAGGGGUUGGUAAUCUCCCAAACCCAUCCGUAGUUCGGAUCGAGGGCUGUAACUCGCCCUCGUGAAGCUGGAAUCCGUAGUAAUCGCGUUUCAAUAUAGCGCGGUGAAUACGUCCCUGCUCCUUGCACACACCGCCCGUCAAACCACCCGAGUGAGGUAUGGGUGAGGGCACGAACUUCGUGUCGUGUUCGAACCUGUGCUUUGCAAGGGGGGUU
rnacentral:rRNA from 1 species